AUAAGCCUGUCCUGUGCGAUAUAUUGUAUGGUUAUUUUUAAUCCUACACUUAUAUUAAACGGAGGUUGUCGUCUGAGCGGGAAUUGCAGACCUCCCCCCCUGGGGAAGAAGGGAGCGUGAAGCGCCCAGCGCAACAUAUCCACCCUGGUCACAAACCGGGUUCUAACAUAACCAUGCACGGCCGGAUGGGUUUAUA
rnacentral:other from 1 species